rnacentral:rRNA from 1 species
UACAGAGGUGGCAAGCGUUGUUCGGAAUUACUGGGCGUAAAGGGCGCGUAGGCGGCCUUCUAAGUCAGACGUGAAAUCCCCCGGCUUAACCUGGGAACUGCGUCUGAUACUGGCAGGCUCGAAUCCGGGAGAGGGAUGUGGAAUUCCAGGUGUAGCGGUGAAAUGCGUAGAUAUCUGGAGGAACACCGGUGGCGAAGGCGGCAUCCUGGACCGGUAUUGACGCUGAGGCGCGAAAGCCAGGGGAGCAAACGGG